CCUUAGUUCAAUGGUAGAACAUCGGCUUCCCAAGCCGAAUACACGGGUUCGAUUCCCGCAGGG
rnacentral:tRNA from 1 species